AAGUCGUAACAAGGUUUCCGUAGGUGAACCUGCGGAAGGAUCAUUAGUGAAUUCGGUUACUCGCAAGAGAACCAACCCACUUUCCAACUCUGUGAACUAUUGGGAAUAUUGCGCUUGCGCUUAUUCCGGCUCAUUUAAACAUCAGUCAAUGUAUGUAACUAAAAUAUAAUAAGAAAAA
rnacentral:misc_RNA from 1 species